rnacentral:rRNA from 1 species
GACGAACGCUGGCGGCGUGCCUAAUACAUGCAAGUAGAACGCUGAAGGAGGAGCUUGCUUCUCUGGAUGAGUUGCGAACGGGUGAGUAACGCGUAGGUAACCUGCCUGGUAGCGGGGGAUAACUAUUGGAAACGAUAGCUAAUACCGCAUAAGAGUAGAUGUUGCAUGACAUUUGCUUAAAAGGUGCAAUUGCAUCACUACCAGAUGGACCUGCGUUGUAUUAGCUAGUUGGUGGGGUAACGGCUCACCAAGGCGACGAUACAUAGCCGACCUGAGAGGGUGAUCGGACACACUGGGACUGAGACAAGGCCCAGCAUUCUACGAGGAGAAGCAGUAUGGUAUCCUUGGCAAUGGAGGGAAGUCUGACCGUGGAACGCCGCGUGAGUGAAGAAGGGUUUCGGAUCGUAAAGCUCUGUUGUAAGAGAAGAACGAGUGUGAGAGUGGAAAGUUCACACUGUGACGGUAACUUAGCAGAAAGGGACGGCUAACUACGUG